AGUAAUAACAAAUCAAGUCCAAUCAUUCGCCCAGUCUGCAAGAGAAUUUGUAGCUAGUAACGCGUUUCAACUUGACGUAAUAGUAGCAGCCGAUCUGCACGGCGGGGGUGGUCGAUUUAAAAAGAACCUUAACGCUACGGAACAGAGAUCUAUUGUUACAUCGAAAAACCAUAAAAGGAAUGGUUUGCUCUCAAAAGCAUUACGUGCUGGGAAGUUUGAUGUAAACAUUCAACAGAAAAUGUGUGUAUUGUUUACAGUUGUUACUGGUAAAAAAUUUUGCGAGUAUAAGGAAAAGUUGAAAAUUGUGGGAAAUGAUCCUAAUGCAAAUCAGAGUAGAAAAAUUGAACUAGAUAAUGAGUGGAAAGAUGUCACCAAGCAACAGUCACGAGACUUUGUUAAUGACGUAAUGUGGUUUCUCAAAAAUUUAAACUUGUCUCUAGAGGAAGGUGCCGGUACCGAACACCUCAAAAGAAUUCAACAGCUUUUGGGAAACGACUAUAAAUUAAUUGUUUACUCGGGCCAUUCAAACGAAUCUCGUUCGUUCGGUUCAGCUUAUUCACCAGGAGAUGAAUCUAAAAAGCAUAUUUAUCUAGCCUACGACCAAGAGACACAUAUCAUUAUGAUAUGAUGAAAAACCCUGCAAGUUAUCUUUUGUCAAAAUUUUACUGUACGUUUUGCGAAAAAGAGCUUUUUUUUUAACGAACGUCACGCUGACUGUCCCGGAUCAAAAUGCGCCAAGUGCAACCUUGUGUGUAAGUCAGACGUUCGAUUGCCUGAGAAAAGAAAUUGUGACGACUGCAACUUUGAAUUCUUGACAAAUAUGUGUUUUGAGGGGCACAAAGAGCAAAGGAAAUGCGAAGAGAGGAAAAUAUGUUGAAAAUGCUGUUUGCUUAUCGAUUACAAGCUUUUAAACGGAAAGAAUCGUAUUUGUAACACGCGGCACUGUCAAAAUUGUGAAAAAUUCGUAAAACUUCCACACGUCUGCUACAUUCGCAAACCUAGACCUAGCAAGAAUCUCGAGGAGAAAGAUAGCAAUACUUUAAUAACUUUUGCUGAUUUUGAAUGUACACAGCUAACACAGCACGAUGAGGUGCUUGCAGACAAUCGCGAUGGAGUACGCAGAAUCCAUAGAGUAAAUUUAGUCUGUUCUCAAACGGUAUAUAAAAAUUGUCGAGAUAGAGAGAUUAACGAAGAAGGUCCACAAUGCGAAGUGUGUGGAAUGCGUGAAUUAUGCAUUUCGAAUAUUAACGAUCCUAACUUGAACGUCGUCAAAGCUUUUCUCGAAAUGCUUAAUGAAAAAAGCAGCGGGAAACAUCGACCAGACAAUUAGAAGGGCAGUUUAUCAGACCAUGUGUGCUUGUUUCACAAUCUUAAAGGUUAUGACGGAGUCUUAAUAUUGAACGAAAUACUGCGAAGCAACAAGUGGACCGUGAAAACUGUAAUACUUAAUGGAUUGACCGUAAUGCAGCUGGAGAUUGUGUACAUUGAGUCAGGCGCAAGAAUUACGUUUAAGGAUUUCAUAAAUUUUGUGCCAUACAGUCUUAGCAAAUUACCAAAAGCAUUCAAACUGAGCAAUGAUUUAGCAAAAGGAUAUUUCCCGCAUUUGUUCAAUCGACCAGAAAAUUACACGUAUAGAGAAAAAAAAAUUACCGGCAAUGGAGUUCUAUGAUCCGACAAAUAUGGGCGUUUCCCAGUACGAGGCAAUCAUAGGUUGGUAUGAAAAGAAGUGAGGCGUCUAGAGGAAUCAGAUGAUGAAGUGUUUGAUUUCCCUGCUGAGAUUGUAAAGUACUGCAAAAACGAUGUGACAAUUUUGAGACAGACUGCAUUACAAUUUAGUUCAUUCUUCGAAACUUAUGCGUGUAUAGUCCUUUUCUUGAAUCAAUAACGAUUGCUUCCCUUGUAAGUCUUUUGUAUAGAAGGAACUUUUACAAACCAAAAUCUAUAGGAUUGAUACCGCGGAGUGAUUCAUAUAGAACCAACCAAAGUAAGGAAGCUUUGAUGUAUUUUAGAUAUUUAGAAACGGAACAAAACCUGGUCAAUCUCAAGCACGCUGGCAAUGGUCAAGAAGAGAUAGUCGGAGGAUAUCCUGUUGACGCACUAUAUAGACACAUCAACUAAUACUGUAUACCAAUAUAUGGGUGACUACUGGCAUUUCUGUCCAGAUUGCUAUCCAGACGACGAAAAGGCCAACUUCGAGGCUAAAAAACAAUACGAAUCUGGACUGGCUAGAAGACAGGCAACAUUUUUGCGAACCAGAACGCUGGAAAAAUUGAAAUACAGUGUUUUAGAGAUGUAUGGAUGUAAAUUUAAGGCAUUAUUGAAAGAUCAACCACAAGUUAAGGAGAAAUUACUGAAAGAUCCGAUUGUUCAAAAAGGAUAUUUGCGUGCAAGAAAUUGCCUAAGCGGUGGUCGUACUAAUAGUGUUAUUUUGUGGCACGAAUGUGGGCAUGACGAGGAAAUUAAUUAUUAUGAUUUUACUUCCCUCUAUCCGACCACACAGAAAUACUGUGAGUACAUUGUAGUUCAUCCUACAGUGUACACUACAAAUUUCCCUAGUCUCGACUCUGUAAAGGGUUUUGUUUUCUGUAGAGUGUUGCCUCCAGAUUCUCUUUACCACCCUGUACUACCACAAAAAGUUGGAGAUAAACUUUUGUUCCAUCUCUGUAAAAAAUGUGCCACUCAAAAAAUCACAAUUCUCCAUACUGCACCCACACCGAUGAGGAAAGAUCAUACGGUGGCUCUUGGAGUUCGUGGGAGCUGAACUUGGCUAGGAAAUUUGGAUACAAGAUCACUGAAAUUACGAAAUCUGGCACUACGAGAAAACAACCAAGUACAAGAAGAAUGAAGAUGAAGGCCUUUUCACCAGUUUUGUAAACGCUUUCCUAAAAUUGAAGCAGGAAGCAUCAGGUUGGCCAGAAAACAACAUGUCUAACGAGGACAAGAAAAAAUACAUCGAGUCAUAUGCGAUCGAAGAAAGCAUUGAUCUGGACGAGAGUAAAAUCGAAAAGAAUGAGGUCAUAAGAACUGUAGCAAAACUCUGCCUUAAUUCGCUAUGGGGGAAAUUUGGACAAAACGCAAGAAGCAAAACAGCAGUCAUUGAGGUUCGCAGCAGGCUCCUUGAACUUCUCUCUGCCCCUAGCGUCACUGUGACCAAUAUUAUGUGUGAUGCAACAUCCAAAGCAGUAGUUCAGUACAAUGACGAUCAGGAUACUUUGAAUAAUGUAAAUGUUUUGGUAGCAGCGUUGACUACUAGUCACGCAAGAAUUAUGCUAUACCAGCUUUUACACAUUUUCUAGGUAAGAAGGUUCUAGCAUUUGACACCGAUAGCGUUAUUUACACUCAAAAGAAAGGAACACCUCUGCUUAAGACCGGUCGAUUCUUAGGGUGUUUGACAGAUGAAGUAGCCGAAUAUGGUGAGGGUUCCAAAAUAACCAAAUACGCAUCUCUUGGUCCUAAAAAACCAUUGUUUUGUUGUACAAAAAACCAGACGGAACUUGCAAAGAAGUGAGAAAAUGUAAGGGUAUAACAUAUUGAAACAAAAUAAUAUCCAGGAAACUCUAGCAUGGAGUCAAUUGAAAAAAUUGCUUAACGGAGAGGUUGAUGAAAUCAAUAUUCAAAUUCACAACAAAAUUCAAAGAUCAUCCGAUUUCCAAAUUUAUUCGGAAAAUGGUACUAAGAAAAUGCGAUUGGUCUAUGAUAAAAGAGUAUUGAUUUCCAAAUAUGAAACAAUCCCUUGGGGCACAAAGAGGGGUGCUAAAGAACCUAUCCACGAUGAAAAUAUUGUGAUUGAUGAACUGGAAUAUUAGAAACCAUAUCCCUUGAAUUGGACAUGCAAUACUUCUCCGUUUAUUUGAAUUGAUUUUAUAAAUUUUUUAAU